rnacentral:rRNA from 1 species
UACAGAGGGUGCAAGCGUUAAUCGGAAUUACUGGGCGUAAAGGGCGCGUAGGUUGGAAGAUAAGUCAGAUGUGAAAGCCCCGGGCCUAACCUGGGAAUUGCAUAUGAAACUGUUUUUCUAGAGUGGAGUAGAGGGUAGUGGAAUUUCCGGUGUAGCGGUGAAAUGCGUAGAUAUCGGAAGGAACACCAGUGGCGAAGGCGGCUACCUGGACUCUAACUGACACUGAGGCGCGAAAGCGUGGGGAGCGAAC